AUGGACUCUACACCAACACAUCAAGCCCCACGUGGACCUGUGACAAGAGCGAGAGCAUGUGCUUUGAAAACUGAGGUGAACACCUUCCUACUUGACUUGCAUACGGAUACGAAUGGGACUUGGUUGCUACCUCACCAAAAUAUGAUAUGUCUCAUUAGGUACGAAGAGGAACACUACCAUGAAGCUCAGGAGCAUCACCAUGAAGCUCAGGAGCAUCACCAACAGCAGCAACACUGGAAGUCCCAGGUGACCCCGUGUGCAUGGGCCCCCGAGACCCCGUGCCCAGGGACUGCCCAGGAAGUUGGUGUUGGAGCAACCCAUGCGCACGGGCGUGUACCGUGCGCACGGGCCCAACUUACCCCAUGCGCAUGGGCCUCCCAUGAUGGCCGGCUGAGAUUGCAUCUCGCCCACCUCUUCAUCUCCUUCGACCCCAAGGCUAUAUAA
rnacentral:rRNA from 1 species